AUAAUUAUAGCUUAUGAAGAGUAUAAUAUUGAAGAUAUUGUGGAGAUUUAUUAAAUCUAAUUAUU
rnacentral:tRNA from 1 species